rnacentral:ncRNA from 2 species
UCAUCCGAGGAGCGUUGCAGCGCCCCCAGCACAGCGGGGCGUGAGGCUCGGAACCCAUCUUCGCAACGACGCUCAUCCACU